rnacentral:rRNA from 1 species
CCUACGGGCGGCAGCAGUGAGGAAUAUUGGUCAAUGGGCGGAAGCCUGAACCAGCCAAGUAGCGUGCAGGAUGACGGCCCUACGGGUUGUAAACUGCUUUUAUACGGGAAUAACGCGCCUUACGUGUAGGGCUUUGCAUGUACCGUAUGAAUAAGGACCGGCUAAUUCCAUGCCAGCAGCCGCGGUAAUACGGAAGGUCCGGGCGUUAUCCGGAUUUAGUGGGUUUAAAGGGAGCGUAGGCCGCAUGUCAAGCGUGAUGUGAAAUGUCCGGGCUCAACCCGGGCCUUGCAGCGCGAACUGGCGUGCUUGAGUCCGCGGAAGGCAGGUGGAAUUCGUGGUGUAGCGGUGAAAGGCUUAGAGAUGACGAAGAAUCCCGAUGGCGAAGGCAGCUUGCUGCAGCGGAACUGACGCUGAUGUUCGAAAGCGCGGGUAUCGAACAGGAUUAGAUACCCGAGUAGUC